AUGUUUGAAUUAGAAUGUGAUGCUAGCGGCAUUGGUUUAGGUGGUGUUUUAUUGCAAGAAGGAAAACCAGUAGCAUACUUUAGUGAAAAGCUCAGUGGGCCUAGUCUGAAUUAUUCAACAUAUGAUAAAGAACUUUAUGCACUAGUUCGGACUUUGGAGACAUGGCAACAUUAUUUAUGGCCUAAGGAGUUUGUCAUACAUUCUGAUCAUGAAUCACUCAAGCAUAUUAGAAGUCAAAGCAAACUGAACCGUAGACAUGCAAAAUGGGUUGAAUUUAUUGAAUCCUUUCCUUAUGUUAUUAAACACAAGAAAGGGAAGGAGAAUGUUAUUGCCGAUGCCUUGUCUAGACGCUAUACUAUGUUAUCACAACUUGACUUCAAAAUUUUUGGACUUGAAACUAUAAAAGAGCAAUACGCUAAUGAUGUUGACUUUAAAGAUAUAUUGCUCAAUUGCAGAGAGGGUAGAACUUGGAACAAGUUCGUCAUUAAUGACGGAUUUGUUUUUCGCGCUAACAAGCUAUGCAUCCCAGAUAGCUCUAUUCGUCUUUUGUUGUUACAGGAGGCGCAUGGAGGAGGACUUAUGGGACAUUUUGGCGUCAAGAAGACAGAAGACAUCCUUGCUAGUCAUUUCUUCUGGCCAAAAAUGAGAAGGGAUGUGGAGAGAUAUGUUGCACGCUGCACGACAUGCCAAAAAGCUAAGUCAUGA
rnacentral:rRNA from 1 species